GUGUGUCCGUGUAUAAACAGCCAUGUUUUUCAUUUGGUCAUUGUUGUGUUAUGUUGCUAUGCAACGCCUUUUUGAAAUUUUGGUACUUUUCAUUUUUUUGGACUUACAGCAAAAUAAGCUGCUCCCUUAUAAGCUCGCCAGCAUCUGGGUCCUACCUGUUACACUCCAGAACAUGACAUCGAUCUCCUACGAUGGGCCUGGUAACCCUUUCCCGGGCAGGAUAAACUGGUCCUUUGGUUUUACAGUCAUGGCUCUUCAUCUGACCUCUCACCCAGGACCUUGUUGACCUCUACCACAAAGAGUUGUUGUCGGGUUUCUGCGGCUCGGCGUGGCGUUUCAGCUGAUCCUCUGUAAUGAAACACCUCAUACUGUCUGGAGAUGACGAGCACACACGCAUACUUCCAGACCUCAUGGGGAGAGUAAUAAAAGGAGAUGAUUUCUAGAUCCAGACAUGAAGACAGGCCUGUGGAUGGGCUGCAGUCCCACCGUCUGUGGGUCCCACAUGGCCUUCAGGCCAGGGCCAAACACAAAACUCAAUGCCACUGCCAACCUCCACCGUCUGCUACGUCUCCGUGACCAGCUUAUGAAUGUCUGUGUGUGUGUGUGUGUGUGUAUCCACAAAAAUGUGUUAUUGUGUCAGUCUUUUUGUCUUUCACUGUGGAGCGAUACAAUAGCAUGAAUUACAGGUGUGUGUGUGUGUGUGUGUGUGUGUGUGUGUGUGUGUGUGUGUGUGUGUGUGUCUGUUAUGGUCUCGUGGGGAGGGAAGAGUUCAUCUCUGAAGUCUCAAAUAAAACCAAACUCACUGAUUUCUGAGGAAAAUCUAAGUUUAACAAAAUCUUUGGACACAUUAGUUUGAAAUGAAUCGAUUUCGUUUCUGAUUUUCUGAAGCCCUUCACACACAGUGGUAAGGAUGCUCAACUACAGAGACUCUGGUCA